rnacentral:rRNA from 1 species
AGCGAACGCUGGCGGCAGGCCUAACACAUGCAAGUCGAACGAAGUCUUCGGACUUAGUGGCGGACGGGUGAGUAACACGUGGGAACGUGCCUUUAGGUUCGGAAUAACUCAGGGACACUUGUGCUAAUACCGAAUGUGCCCUUCGGGGGAAAGAUUUAUCGCCUUUAGAGCGGCCCGCGUCUGAUUAGCUAGUUGGGGAGGUAAAGGCUCACCAAGGCUACGAUCAGUAGCUGGUCUGAGAGGAUGACCAGCCACAUUGGGACUGAGACACGACCCAAACUCCUACGGGAGGCAGCAGUGGGGAAUCUUGCGCAAUGGGCGAAAGCCUGACGCAGCCAUGCCGCGUGGAUGAUGAAGGUCUUAGGAUUGUAAAAUCCUUUCACCGGUGAAGAUAAUGACUGUAGCCGGAGAAGAAGCCCCGGCUAACUUCGUGCCAGCAGCCGCCGUAAGAC